CCAGCAGGGGACCUGGCACAGCAGGAACCCAAGGCACUAGCUCCCUUCCAGGGACUUCCUAGGUCGGGCCAUCUUGGCCUACCUCCUGUGCCCAACACACCCUAGUCCACUCCUGCAGCCUUUCUGGCAGCUCCCAGGUGCCCAGGGCUGCCCCCACCUUCAUCUGGCUCACCAGGUCAUUUCUACUUGCCUAGUUGUUACACCACUUUACCAGCCCAAAUGUCCCAAAGGCUUCUGACUCAGACAUUCCUGUUCCUAUACUAAUCAGCAAGCUUAAGCAACCUUAAAGGCAGCGACCCACAGAAAACAGUCUCCUUCCAGUUUAUUUUGGAAAGAACCCCCAACUCCCACAACUUGCUUAAUCUUCUCACUUCUCCACAAGUUUCCUGCCAGCUAUUUUGCAACUUCUUUGUAUAAUAAUUGUGUGGUGCUCGCAUGCUUCUGAAUUCAGAGCAUUGUUUGUUUCUUUCAGUGGUGCUAUGGAUACAGUGCCCUAGAAUCUAGCCAGCCAUGUACCUGGCACGCUAUUGAUCGGCACAGCAUUGACUGAAGAGCAGAAUGGAAUGCUGAGACAAUGUGAAAGAGGCACGAGUGAAGUCUCUUCUUCAGGGAUCCAUUGUAUGGCAUUCUGGAAAAGAGCUCUGUAAUGGCUUUGUCUUCAGCAAGCACACAGAAGACUUGGCAGUCUCUGCAGCACUAAUCUCUGAGUGGAGUCUCAGCUACAGGAAGACAGAAGUUGAAACUAGAGAAGAAUUUCUGCUCUCAAGCCUAGGCUGUUCCCAAUAAGCCCACUUAUAACUGGAUCCCACUUAAAGGCGGCUGGUUAACUUCACCCAUUGGAGUAGAACAGUCACUCAGGAAGCACAUGAAGCUCUUUGUCUCUCAGAGAAAUGGAGGGGGAAUUGAUACAUGAUAUGAAGUGUAGGAAGAAACAGCCUGCCUCCGUCUUAGGCUUAAAAGCCGUCUUAUAGUAAAGACAAAAUAGAUCCAUUUCUGUUUAUGAUUAUGCUCACAUGUACACUGAAGUACAAAUGGUUCUGUACUGUUUGUUCCAGGAAUGGGAAUCAUGUCUUAAUUUAACCAUCUUGUAAUCUUACCUUUGUUUUAAAAAUGUUACAUGGCUGUAAUGAUAUUUCAUUUGCAUUUUAAUAAAUAAUGCUUGUCUGAA